GUUUCGACUAUUGCAACAAUGAUCCUCGAGCACUCCAGAACCUAUAAUUGACCAAUUUCACUCAAUUUAUUACUUACUCGAUCGAACUAAAACUGAAUUUGAAACUAGAAAGACAUCCCUUAAAUGAUGAAAAGCUUACCCCAACACCUCGAACAGUUGAUUACGCAAUAGCACGAUGUGACCUUUAAACCACACGAGAUGCUAUUGCUAAACGUCAAAAAUCCCGAAUCAAAGUUGGAAAAAUUGUAAGUUAAAGAGAGCAAAAACUCCUGUAAUAGGCCUAAUUUGCCCAGACUUAUAAUAAAUCAGAAAACCAAAAAAGUAUAUAUAUGUAAAUUAAAGUGCUUAUGGGGUCAAUGUCCAUUUACAAAAUUCUGGGCCUAAAUUUACAAAUUACCUAUGGCCCAACAAUUACACCCAAAAUCCUAACCUAAUAAACCCACAUCCCCAACCCGGUUUACAAAUAGCCCAAACUCGAGGCCCAACAAGACCCAAAAAGAAACUCAACAUUCGAAUAGUGCCAGAAGCUUCUGGAAUACAGUGGAAUGGCAUUAGAGAGUGGGCUUCUUACCCCCGCGUGCGGCCUCCAUGUCAUCGGGUCAUCUUCUCCGUACAAUCGAUCCUGCAAAAGAAUACACCAGAAGGAGCCAAUAGCAUAAUUCACAGCAAAUGACAGUAGGAAAAUAGGAUUUUAAAAUUUUUUAUUUAUUUUGUAAAUCUGGCUAUAAAAAGCCAUGGAUGUAAUCCUUUAAUUUUUACGCACACUUUACGCAUACACAUACGCUAUACGCACACUGAAUAUAAAAAAUUUUAAAAAGAAUUUCUGAAAAAGGUGAUCUUCUUUAGUCUUUUUAAUUUUUCUGUUAUUUUUAUCUAUUUUUCCUACGAUUAUUUUCAUCAUUCUGCAUUUUAAAACAAAGAGGAAGGAAAGUCAGGUCUUACCUUGCGAAUCAGCCAUUGACCUCUGUUCACUUCGUUGAGAUCGAAGUUGGAAGGGGGAUCCAAAGGUGUUAUCCAUCAAUCCUUGAAACGAUGCCAAUGAAAUCCUGAAUAUCUCUGAAAUAUUGAGAUACGGGUGAGGGUCGGAUGGUAUUAAAUGUGUUUGUUUUCAACUUUGUCUUCAUUUUUCUUGAACGAAUGAUAUUAGAUCUAAAGUUUUUUUUUUUUUUAAAAGAAAACAAAAUGGUUUACCAGAUUUCGUCGAGUGGAGCCUUCGACGGCGAGAUCUGGUCGCUGCUCGUGCGUUAUCGGCCACCAAAUGAAAUGGUGGUUCGGUGGCUGCUGGAAUGUGCCCUAACAAAUUGAUUUUAGGGCUGUGUAUCUUGGUUAGAAUAAUGGCUGCGUUUGAAGAAGAAAAUAGGAGAAGAAAGGUUUUAAAUAACCUAUUAAUAAAACGGUGCCAUUUAAGGAAGGGGGGAGGUCCGCGCGUCAACCAGCUUGGAGACCCAGAUUUGCGCCUUUGCGCCUAAAAUGGAUUAUUUGUGUGGCAGGUCCUUUCUCUUUGCGCCGCGUUAUGAUCCGCUCCCAUUUGUGUCUGAUUUGUUUUGUUUUCUUUAAAAUUUUCCCGAAAUUUGAGCACUUUUGCAUUUUAGCCCGCAUCUCAACGUAGUGUUUCGAGAUUAGGGAUAUUAUCAGAUUUGGUCCCUGUGAAUUCAUGCGUGUUGUGCAGGGGUCCUCAUUUUAAUAUUAGUAGUUUGUUUUAUUUAUAAAUUAUCCCUUUUUUAUAAUUUUAUUUCAAUUAAGUUUUUUUUCAUUUUUUUAAAAUUCGUUUCACAUUCAUUUUUUCUUUUAAAUUCUUGUUUAAUUAUUUUUAUAUUUGGAGCUCCUUUGAUGAUUAUGUUUUGUUUUAAAGUAAGUAUUGUAUUUUUUUUAUCAUAUCAUUUUUUGCAUUGUGUAUAAUAUUUUAUAUGAAUGUUUUUGUACAUUAUUAAAUAUAUAUAAUUAUUCCAUGUAUAUUAUUAAUCUUAUAUUAUUUUAUACACAUAAUUUCUUCUAAAUUUAUUCCUAUAUCUUAUUAUACAUCUAUGUUGUUUAAAGGAAAAUCCUACAUAUUUUGUGUAUUUUUUUUAAUUACUAUUAUACAUAACUCAUGUUAAAUUAUUUUUACUAUAGUCCACGUUAUUGAUUUCAUAUUAAUAUUUUUUAUGUAUAUAUAUAUAUAUUUAAAAUUAUUUAUGCGUAUAAUGCGUUUCUUUUAAGAACUAUAUUUUAAAUCAUACAAUUUAUUUAUUGUAUACACUUUCAUAUUUUAUUAUCCUUAUGUAUGUAUUAAUUAUAUGUACCAUCAAUCUAAAUCAAUUUGUUA
rnacentral:lncRNA from 1 species